AACGAACGCUGGCGGCAGGCUUAACACAUGCCAGUCGAGCGCCCCGCAAGGGGAGCGGCAGACGGGUGAGUACCGCGUGGGAACGUACCUUUUGGUUCGGAACAACUCCGGGAAACUGGAGCUAAUACCGGAUAAGCCCUAACGGGGAAAGAUUUAUCGCCGAAAGAUCGGCCCGCGUCUAAUUAGCUAGUUGGUGAGGUAACGGCUCACCAAGGCGACGAUCAGUAGCUGGUCUGAGAGGAUGAUCAGCCACACAGGGACUGAGACACGGCCCAGACUCCUACGGGAGGCAGCAGUGGGGAAUAUUGGACAAUGGGCGCAAGCCUGAUCCAGCCAUGCCGCGUGAGUGAUGAAGGCCUUAGGGUUGUAAAGCUCUUUUGUCCGGGAAGAUAAUGACUGUACCGGAAGAAUAAGCCCCGGCUAACUUCGUG
rnacentral:rRNA from 1 species